AGGUGGCUGCAGAUUCCCCGACCCCAGGACAGAACCUUCUGACUCUCCGGCUGAUGCGGGCGACUCCCCGGACAAGCUGAUAAAACUUUUGUAUGCUAAGAGGCAACCCCGAGCCCGAACCCCGAACAACCCUUCCCCACCACCCAAAAAAAAACAGGCCCUGGAACUGAACGGGAGAUCUUCCAAUUGAAAUUAUGCAGAUCUAUUUCUCCUUGGGGCACAUACGACAUUUGAUUAUCCGUGGAUGCUUAUAAAAGCUGCAACAUGCCACGAAACAGCUGCAAAUAUGCCUUUAGCACGGAUUUCGUACCUGAGAAUGAUGAUCAUAAUUGUAGAAUAAAGAUUGUGGAUUAAGAUGGGAAAGAGAUGGCCGUUUGGUAUUACAGUGUUAAAGUAGGCUCCAAGAAGAUCAACAGGCGAAAGUACAAAAAAAAUCUCCAGUUAAUCUGUUGAAACGGCAGCUGUUGGCUUUUGGAGUUUUGAAGCGUCACCUUUGACAUGUCCCUUUUCAAUCAAGACAGACCUUCAGCAACUGACCACUACAAGCCCCAUAAAAAGAAAAGCAAGAAGACGCCUGCUCAAGAUGCUGCUAAAUUUACCCUUAAGAGUCUUUUCAGCGAUUUGUUGGAUUAUCUAAUGCCGGCCUUUAGAUCCUAGCCACUACCCUUUUGAUUUCAAAUAUGUGUUUUCUCCUCAUCCUGUACACCCCCACACCUCCCCAGAACAACAAAUACACAAACGUUGGCCGCAAUGCUUCUGGUCCAUUAAUAAUCACGUACACACGCUGGCACCUAGAGCAGCUUUAUUUCAUUAAACCAAUGAGUUAUAAUCAGGUCUUGUUGCAACCCAACGUUACAAAAUUCGCCAUUCUCCAAUUUGUUCUCUUAUUAAAGUUUUGUGUGGUUCUUCCUGGGUCAACUAAAAGUCGGACCUUUAGAAACGCAAAAGAAAUGCUCUGCACGUGUGCGAGUCCAACCUGUGCUAAUGUCAAUGCAUAAGUAAAUUAAUUUUGGGUUCUAAUAUUUCCAUGAAAUCGUAUUGACAGGGUUACAUAAAGGUCGUUUCGUCCAACUAUUUAUCGCAUCUAAUCUAUUGCAUUGACUAAGAUUCCACUGAAUUAACACAAUCAAUAAUCAGAAUAUAAGUUAUUAAUUGAUAAAACUGCUGAGGAAUAUUUGAAGCAUGACAAUAGCUUGAUAAAUCAUGGUUGUUCUUAAUAAUGAUUAUUUCAUUGUUGCCAGGAAUAUAUAGCAAAUGACUACUUGAAACAAAUAUUGUUUAAUGCUUCUGCUAAGAUAGCGGCUUAAUGAUAUAACUGAUGUAAUGUAUCCAUCACAGUGCUAAGUGGGGUUUGAUUAAACAGAUAAUAGUAAGGCUGCUGCUGCGAUGAUCUGUUUUAAAUUCUUUUCAUCUGUUUGCUAUUGAUGUUUUCCUGGCUAAUCGCAUUUUGCCAUGUCAUAAUUGCCAUCAUAGUAAUUUUGUUCUCCUGAAAUAUAACACCGAAUGAUUGAUUCCUUCUCACACUUACAUAUAUGUGUAUUAAUAUUAUAUAUGAGAAUUCUGAUACGUAAUUCGACGCUUGUUUCGUUUGCAUUCAUCAUUCGAUUCUCUCCCAUCCAAUCAAUUUGAUCAAUUUCUCGUAGAUCUGUACGAAUUCAAUCAAAUAUCAUAAUCUAUUAUGUCAUAAUUCCGUCCCUCCCGCGGCUCGCCUGCGAGAACAGGGCCACAUUUUCCAUACCCUUGUCUAGCCUCAUCCGUUAUUGUUAAUCGUAGAACAAUGGGCACAUCUGUCCCGUUUUUGCUUAGCACCUUAUCGGACCUGCGCCUGGAACAGCAACAGUAGCAUGUGUCACGCCGCGUCCCUUUUAGAAAUAAAACCAUUGUCUUUUAACACAUUUCAGCACCUCUGCGUUUUAAUUGUUUAGCCGGCAAGCGUUAACCUUUAGAGUUUUAAGGGGAAUCCAGUCCAUUAAGAGAAAACUAUUACUGACCUAAAAAUAGAUUGGUGGCUUGGAGUUUCUUUUCUCUUCCAUUUAAUUUGUUUGCCAAUUUUGUAGCACUGUGCUCGUCAGAAGUGACUUGUGUGGUUAAUUAAUUCUACAUCAUCACCUUUUGUUGGCCUAUCCAAGCUCAGUUUAUUGAUCAAACAUAUAUUAUACAAAUUUAGCUAAACAUGUUGCAACCAGUUUUUGACUGCACUUUACACCUGCUUCAUUUUGCCGGAAUAUCCAGCCGACAUGUUCGUCUCGCUGCUUUGCCUCGCUGCGAUGGAAACCCGGGGGUUUGUGUUUUUUUUAUCUUUACAAACCCUCUCGAUCCCAAACAAGGAGAUGGACCAAGGUCUGAUUUACAUCUUCAGCCCGAGGUUGCGGUGGAGCAUCACAUUAACCUAACGUUCCCCAAGGAACAAGAGCAAAACAAACUGGUUUCGGUGAUAUUUUACCCCCGAUUUCAAACGUGGGAUUAACAAUCGUGCAUUUGAGAAGAGAAUGGAUCUGGACAGGGAUAACCAGUACGGAGCAGUCUUCGUCCGGUGCGAUGCCCUCACUAAAAUAUCUCGGCUACCGAACAAUAUCGGGUCAGUUCUAAUGUGUUUCUGGUGAUCCUGUCCGCAUUCUGCAUCUAAUGUAUAACAAUGAAGCAAGCUAAAAAUAAAAUGAACA